CCGAGCGAUAGGUUAUUUGACGAGCGGUUAAUUGGCACAACGUAAUGUCUGUUACGACAGUCUUGGUGUCCACAUAUUGCACACAUCGACCACCAAUGUGUUGAAAUAACAAUGUCAAACCGAAAGUCUAGAUGGCAGUGUUUAUUAUUAACCUGCACGUUGGCUAUGCUGUGGAAACAUAUUAUUGUUUCUGCCCAAGCUUCUGGAACAGUAAGACUAUAUAAUUUCACUGGAAAAGACGUCAGGCUGGUUGGCGGAAACAGUGAACUGGAAGGACGAGUAGAAAUAAGCAUUAAUGGCAUUUGGGGAACAAUUUGUGCAGACUCAUUGUUUGACUUUGUUUACGCAGAUGUCCUAUGCAGAAUGCUACAUACGAAUCUGAGUGCAUAUAGAUUACUACACAGACGGACGAUACGGAUACGGUACUGGUCCAGUAUUUUACCGUUCGUUGUCAUGUCCUGGAUUAGAAAAAACAAUCUACAACUGUUCUGGUACAACAGGCGAAACGUGUGCCAAUGCGAGCGACGUGGGCUUGAUAUGUGCAGGCUGUUCACGUUUGACACAACGUCAUUAUGGAUUGCUCGAACACGUCAAUAUCACCAGCAGUGCUGACGUAUACACCGGCAGAUGCAGCAACGGGACCUCAAAUUUCCAACUCUUGUAUCGAUGUACACUCAACGGAAUGUGGGAAGAGUAUGCCGUAAGAGACGCCCGAUUUGUUGGUGGAGUCGGCCUGUAUGAUGGAGUAGUGGAGGUCCUAGUUGGGGAUACUUGGGGUCUAGUGUGUGGAUACGCGUACAGCAACAGCCGAUAUUAUUACUCUCAG